GGUCGCGUGGUGUAGUUGGUUAUCACACUUGUCUAACAUCUCCUCCGAGACGUGGACACAAGUGGUCCCCAGUUCGAACCUGGGCGCGAUCA